UCUGUCCCCCGGGGACCUACUGUGUUGAAGGCUCAGGAGAACCAGAGCCCUGUCCGGCCGGUACCUUCUCCCCAGCGUCGGGCCUGGCUAGUGAGGCUGGCUGUCUGCCCUGUAGCGGCGGGCUUUACUGCCGAGAGCCAGGGCUCACCGCUCCCACCGCUCCCUGCAGUCAAGGGUUCUGGUGCCCGCCUGGCCAGAGGCAGGCUAUGGCCUUCCCCUGCCCCCGGGGUCACUACUGUCCCCAGGGCAGUGCAGCCCCACAGCCCUGCCCCUCAGGAAACUACCAGGAUCUGGAGAAACAGGCCGGCUGUAAAGUCUGUCAGGCAGG
ensembl:lncRNA